rnacentral:rRNA from 1 species
GGGGCACCGUGGCGGCGUGCCUAAUACAUGCAAGUCGAACGAGUUCUCGUUGAUGAUCGGUGCUUGCACCGAGAUUCAACAUGGAACGAGUGGCGGACGGGUGAGUAACACGUGGGUAACCUGCCCUUAAGUGGGGGAUAACAUUUGGAAACAGAUGCUAAUACCGCAUAGAUCCAAGAACCGCAUGGUUCUUGGCUGAAAGAUGGCGUAAGCUAUCGCUUUUGGAUGGACCCGCGGCGUAUUAGCUAGUUGGUGAGGUAAUGGCUCACCAAGGCGAUGAUACGUAGCCGAACUGAGAGGUUGAUCGGCCACAUUGGGACUGAGACACGGCCCAAACUCCUACGGGAGGCAGCAGUAGGGAAUCUUCCACAAUGGACGCAAGUCUGAUGGAGCAACGCCGCGUGAGUGAAGAAGGCUUUCGGGUCGUAAAACUCUGUUGUUGGAGAAGAAUGGUCGGCAGAGUAACUGUUGUCGGCGUGACGGUAUCCAACCAGAAAGCCACGGCUAACUACGUGCCAGCAGCCGCGGUAAUACGUAGGUGGCAAGCGUUAUCCGGAUUUAUUGGGCGUAAAGCGAGCGCAGGCGGUUUUUUAAGUCUGAUGUGAAAGCCCUCGGCUUAACCGAGGAAGCGCAUCGGAAACUGGGAAACUUGAGUGCAGAAGAGGACAGUGGAACUCCAUGUGUAGCGGUGAAAUGCGUAGAUAUAUGGAAGAACACCAGUGGCGAAGGCGGCUGUCUGGUCUGUAACUGACGCUGAGGCUCGAAAGCAUGGGUAGCGAACAGGAUUAGAUACCCUGGUAGUCCAUGCCGUAAACGAUGAAUGCUAGGUGUUGGAGGGUUUCCGCCCUUCAGUGCCGCAGCUAACGCAUUAAGCAUUCCGCCUGGGGAGUACGACCGCAAGGUUGAAACUCAAAGGAAUUGACGGGGGCCCGCACAAGCGGUGGAGCAUGUGGUUUAAUUCGAAGCAACGCGAAGAACCUUACCAGGUCUUGACAUCUUUUGAUCACCUGAGAGAUCAGGUUUCCCCUUCGGGGGCAAAAUGACAGGUGGUGCAUGGUUGUCGUCAGCUCGUGUCGUGAGAUGUUGGGUUAAGUCCCGCAACGAGCGCAACCCUUAUGACUAGUUGCCAGCAUUUAGUUGGGCACUCUAGUAAGACUGCCGGUGACAAACCGGAGGAAGGUGGGGAUGACGUCAAAUCAUCAUGCCCCUUAUGACCUGGGCUACACACGUGCUACAAUGGAUGGUACAACGAGUUGCGAGACCGCGAGGUCAAGCUAAUCUCUUAAAGCCAUUCUCAGUUCGGACUGUAGGCUGCAACUCGCCUACACGAAGUCGGAAUCGCUAGUAAUCGCGGAUCAGCACGCCGCGGUGAAUACGUUCCCGGGCCUUGUACACACCGCCCGUCACACCAUGAGAGUUUGUAACACCCGAAGCCGGUGGCGUAACCCUUUUAGGGAGCGAGCCGUCUUAAGGUGGACAAAUGUUC